rnacentral:rRNA from 1 species
AUUGAACGCUGGCGGCAUGCCUUACACAUGCAAGUCGAACGGCAGCACGGGAGCAAUCCUGGUGGCGAGUGGCGAACGGGUGAGUAAUAUAUCGGAACGUGCCCAGUCGUGGGGGAUAACGUAGCGAAAGCUACGCUAAUACCGCAUACGAUCUAUGGAUGAAAGCGGGGGAUCGCAAGACCUCGCGCGAUUGGAGCGGCCGAUAUCAGAUUAGGUAGUUGGUGAGGUAAAGGCUCACCAAGCCGACGAUCUGUAGCUGGUCUGAGAGGACGAUCAGCCACACUGGGACUGAGACACGGCCCAGACUCCUACGGGAGGCAGCAGUGGGGAAUAUUGGACAAUGGGCGAAAGCCUGAUCCAGCAAUGCCGCGUGAGUGAUGAAGGCCUUCGG